UAUAAAGUAAACUAAUGGAAAGUUAUUAGGCUCAUAACCUAAAUAUAGAGGUUCGAUUCCUCUCUUUAUAA
rnacentral:tRNA from 1 species